AGAGUUUGAUCAUGGCUCAGAUUGAACGCUGGCGGCAGGCCUAACACAUGCAAGUCGAACGGUAACAGGAAGCAGCUUGCUGCUUUGCUGACGAGUGGCGGACGGGUGAGUAAUGUCUGGGAAACUGCCUGAUGGAGGGGGAUAACUACUGGAAACGGUAGCUAAUACCGCAUAACGUCGCAAGACCAAAGAGGGGGACCUUAGGGCCUCUUGCCAUCGGAUGUGCCCAGAUGGGAUUAGCUAGUAGGUGGGGUAACGGCUCACCUAGGCGACGAUCCCUAGCUGGUCUGAGAGGAUGACCAGCCACACUGGAACUGAGACACGGUCCAGACUCCUACGGGAGGCAGCAGUGGGGAAUAUUGCACAAUGGGCGCAAGCCUGAUGCAGCCAUGCCGCGUGUAUGAAGAAGGCCUUCGGGUUGUAAAGUACUUUCAGCGGGGAGGAAGGGAGUAAAGUUAAUACCUUUUGCUCAUUGACGUUACCCGGAGAAGAAGCACCGGUUAACUCCGUGCCAGCA
rnacentral:rRNA from 1 species